rnacentral:piRNA from 1 species
AUUUGCCCUCUACCAGUCGGAAGGUUGUG